CCUACGGGCGGCAGCAGUGAGGAAUAUUGGUCAAUGGGCGGAAGCCUGAACCAGCCAAGUAGCGUGCAGGAUGACGGCCCUACGGGUUGUAAACUGCUUUUAUACGGGAAUAACGCGCCUUACGUGUAGGGCCUUGCAUGUACCGUAUGAAUAAGGACCGGCUAAUUCCGUGCCAGCAGCCGCGGUAAUACGGAAGGUCCGGGCGUUAUCCGGAUUUAUUGGGUUUAAAGGGGGCGUAGGCCGCAUGUCAAGCUUGCUGUGAAAUGUCCGGGCUCAACCCGGGCCUUGCAGCGCGAACUGGCGUGCUUGAGUCCGCGGAAAGCAGGCGGAAUUCGUGGUGUAGCGGUGAAAUGCUUAGAUAUGACGAAGAACCCCGAUUGCGAAGGCAGCAUGCUGCAGCGGAACUGACGCUGAUGCUCGAAAGCGCGGGUAUCGAACAGGAUUAGAUACCCCUGUAGUC
rnacentral:rRNA from 1 species